CAACUGGAAACACUUGUGUUUGUUUUGGUGUAUCUACAGCAGGGAGUUGUGCGUAAGCGUGAGAGGAAUUUUAAGAAUGAAGGAAUCAACGCAACUUACUGGCAUCCAUACCAAGAUUACACAUGCUUUUCCUAUAAUAGGGAGUCGCGCAUAUCUUCAUCUAGAAGAGAGUUCAGAUCUCUGAGUCAUCAAAACGGAGCGCCGGCGCUGCGAUCGAACUGAACAAAAACAGGAUUCGGGGUAAAAAAAGAAACACCACACAAGCACAAAAGCCAAGUUAUGAAUCACGCACAUUAAUCUGCAAAUUUAUGACUCACUGGCUUUUUUGAGAAGCGCGGACUUGUCAGAAUGGUAACGGAAGGGAAAACGUGAGUGGCUUUUUAUGGAAUAGAGCCGUGUUUAAAAGUAAACACAAGGUCAUUUGUGCAAAUGGAUUAAUUUUAAUAAUGACACUAGUAUAGCGGGCCAAAAAUGUUUUUGGAGCAGUGGUAUUAUUUGCAUGAUAAUACAGUUUUUAUUAAUGUUGUGAAUGAUAUUUUG